CCCUAGUGUAAUAAGUUUUAUAACUAAAAAGGUUUAAGCUGCUAAAACUAUUUUUAAGAGAUGUGAAAUGCAGUAUGGGACUAUCUUUUUUUCCUCCUCUAAGCCCAAAGAUUAACUAGAGUCCCUCCAACCUUAUAGAUUUUUGGCUUUCACAAUCUUAUAACCUAGGAUACAGGUAGUUUCGAGUAUGGUGCCAGUGAUGUUUUGUUUUUGUUUGGUCAAGGGGUAGGUGCAACCCAAUGGACCACUUAUGCAAAAGAUGUAAACUCUUGCAUAAUACAUCGAUAACAUGUUUUGCCAACUUUAAAUGCUUAAACAUAAGCGAAACCAGUAGCAAGUAUGUGGGUCAGUUUAAAAAUUUUGAUUGUUAAUGCCCUAUUUUCUAAUUUGGCACCUCUUUUGAUGCCUAAGCAGGUAAGCAGAUGCCUAAGCUGUAUUUCUCCAAAUAAAUCAAGAGGAAGUACUGCCCAAGUUAAAUAUUGAUAGCCUAAAGACAAAUUCAUGUAGUACUUAAUGUACAUGAUAUGAAUUUGAAGCAUAAAAUUAAAUUUUUCCCCAUUG
rnacentral:lncRNA from 1 species